UUUGGCGGCUGGCUUUGACCCACUGUGGAUUCAGCUUUAAUCCCGGUACCAUAAAUUUAUUUCCUGUUGACUUGUCAGGGGAAAAACUAAAUGAUUAUGGUGGGAAGUUUGACAAGCAUCAAAAUGGACAGCUGGAUCAGCAUGUGCAGCUUGACGUGUAGCGGGUGAAGUGCAACGUAUUCCGCCACAGAUAUGUUCAUAGUUACUGUUUUGUAA
rnacentral:misc_RNA from 1 species